CGUCGACUUCAUAUUCUCCUUGGAGCUCGAGUAGCGACGUGAAGUCUUUUCAUAGUAAAUCAACACUGUGGUUGGAAUCGGAUACAGAUGACGAACAUGGAAUUGGAAAUUGGUCUACAUCAGAACCAUCAAUAAUUUCGCUAGCAGAUUCAUGGUCAUCAACAGAUGUUACUUAUGAAUCGGAUGCAGACGUGUUACCUCCACUUCUGCGUCUUAAUCAGCCAGCUAUUGAAACCAUUUGGCUAACUGAUUCGGAUUAAUAUGUAAG